UACGAAGGGUGCAAGCGUUACUCGGAAUUCCUGGGCGUAAAGCGUGCGUAGGUGGUUUGUUAAGUCUGUUGUGAAAGCCCCGGGCUCAACCUGGGAAUGGCAAUGGAUACUGGCAAGCUAGAGUGCGGUAGAGGGUAGUGGAAUUCCCGGUGUAGCGGUGAAAUGCGUAGAGAUCGGGAGGAACACCAGUGGCGAAGGCGGCUACCUGGACCAGCACUGACACUGAGGCACGAAAGCGUGGGGAGCAAACAGG
rnacentral:rRNA from 1 species